rnacentral:rRNA from 1 species
CCUACGGGUAGCUGCAGUGAGGAAUAUUGGUCAAUGGACGAGAGUCUGAACCAGCCAAGUAGCGUGAAGGAUGACUGCCCUAUGGGUUGUAAACUUCUUUUAUAUGGGAAUAAACUGUUCCACGUGUGGGAUUUUGUAUGUACCAUAUGAAUAAGGAUCGGCUAACUCCGUGCCAGCAGCCGCGGUAAUACGGAGGAUCCGAGCGUUAUCCGGAUUUAUUGGGUUUAAAGGGAGCGUAGGUGGUUUGUUAAGUCAGUUGUGAAAGUUUGCGGCUCAACCGUAAAAUUGCAGUUGAAACUGGCAGUCUUGAGUACAGUAGAGGGGGGCGGAAUUCGUGGUGUAGCGGUGAAAUGCUUAGAUAUCACGAAGAACUCCGAUUGCGAAGGCAGUUCACUGGACUGCAACUGACACUGAGGCUCGAAAGUGUGGGUAUCAAACAGGAUUAGAUACCCUUGUAGUC